rnacentral:rRNA from 1 species
GAUGAACGCUGGCGGCGUGCCUAAUACAUGCAAGUCGAGCGAACGGACGAGAAGCUUGCUUCUCUGAUGUUAGCGGCGGACGGGUGAGUAACACGUGGAUAACCUACCUAUAAGACUGGGAUAACUUCGGGAAACCGGAGCUAAUACCGGAUAAUAUUUUGAACCGCAUGGUUCAAAAGUGAAAGACGGUCUUGCUGUCACUUAUAGAUGGAUCCGCGCUGCAUUAGCUAGUUGGUAAGGUAACGGCUUACCAAGGCAACGAUGCAUAGCCGACCUGAGAGGGUGUUCGCCCACCCUGGACCUGAGACACGUUCCAGCUCCCACCGGAAGGAGCCGGUGGGGAAUCUUCCGAAAUGGCCGAAAGCCUACCGGAGAAACGCCGCGUGGGUGAUGAGGGCCUUCGAUUCGUAAAACCUUUUUAUUAGGAAAAACAAUAUGUGUAGGUAACUGUGACCUUCUUGCCGGUCCCUAACAAGAAAGCACCGCCUACCUCCGU